rnacentral:lncRNA from 1 species
GCCACCACCACAUAUGUUAGCCUGCUGGAGGACGACAGCCAGCCAACCUCCAGACAUGUUCUUGACAGCAAGUAAUGUGCUUCACUCAUCUUUGCACACCAACCACAGAACCCAAUAUCCUCCACAUAAUAAAUUCCCAAUGUGAUUGAUAAAUUCAACUGUGGAUUAUGUUAGACCAGACACCAGCUGCUGAUAAACUGUCUCUGACUUGGACAUCUCAGUGGCUGUGUAGAGAGAGCAGCCUUGCUGAGGAGGCGUUGAGAAAAGAAAAAGAAAACUUUACCAUCUCUGGAACUUUUAAUGAAUUUAAGGGGAAAAUUAUACAUCUCAACAGAAAGCGCUUACCCUCUCUGAACCAUGUUCCUCCUGUGGUCACAAGAGGCUCAUUAGGCUGGCCUUAAAAACAGCAGUUGGGACAACGAGAAAGCUCCACAGAAAAUCAUGAUGAGCAGUGUUCAUUAUCUAUUCAUGAGCACCUUUCUUGCAUAUUUAGCAUUUGCAAAAUAUUGGAUGUCAUCAGCAUAUGGGAGUCCAGGAGAAAUCUCACCUUCUUGCAAAGACAAAAAUGGAAACGGCUGAGUCUUUCUACCCAGUUGAGGGAACCCAAUCUGAACAUGACGCCUAGUUGUUCUUUGACUCAGUUUAAAUGAUGUGUUGUCUAACCAGACUGGAUUCUGUCAAAGCAGAUGUGUCUAAGAUGCUAGAAAUGAAUGCAUACCAAAGGACACAAUUGAAUAAUGCUGGACAGAGAAUUCUGCAAGACAGUCUGCCUAGCCAGAGUAGCAAGGGAAGGCACCGAGUCAGCUACUGAGAAUGAAUUUUGAAACAGAGACUUGUCAAAGGCAUAGAAAAAUUGCAAAAGUGGCAACAACAUUUAUGGUAAUUACAUAGGAUCCACAGAGCACUUUCACAUCAGCUAUCUCAUUUAACCCUCAAGAUGCCUCAGAGAUGACAGGAAGCAUGGACAUGCAUUGAGUCACUUGACUUGGCCAAGAUGUAUUGGCAAGUUGAAGUAUAUUGGGAGCUGGGAAUGACCAUUUUCCUCCAUUCAUAUGGACAUCUUAUAAUCAUUUCUUAAUAUACCUUUACUGUAGAGCCUUUCUAGUUGGCUCCUUAAUCCUAGGCCCAUCAGUGAACCAAUCGCUAUGGCCAAGAAUGCAUGCAUAGGCCUAAGGGACAACAUUGACUUAAAAUGGAGGAAUGAAUCACAGUUCCCAAAGAAAACUGAAAGUGCUAUCACCAGAAGGAUCAAGAAGAUUGAGACUUGACCAGAACCUGAACAUCAGAACUCUUUAAGAAGUAAGGUCUGAUUUCAACUUGAUUUUAUUAAUUGCCUCUUUCUAAUUCAACUCAGACUGCUUGGCAAAUAGGCCUGGACUUUGAACAUAUGGAGACUAUGAGGAAGGGGCAUUACAGGCACAGGGACACCGUAAGCAUCCCAUGGGGAGACAUAAAAAUCAAGAAAUGGAAUUGGAGGCCGGGCGCGUGGCUCAUGCCU